GGGCUUGGGUGGAGGGCGGGACAGAGGGGUUGGGCCCAGGAGAAUCUUCUUUUGCGGCUGCUGCGGAGGUCUAGGCUGGGACGUGGGCCGGGUCGGGGAGUGCUGGACGCGGAGGACCAGGAGGCGAGAUCCGCCGGAGCUGUGAACCCCUGUCUCUUUGCCGUGCAGUGACCCCGCACCCAGGCGCUGUCCGACCCGCGGCUGUUCGCUAGGCAGUUGGUGGGGGCGCGGCAGCGGCGGUUGGGGGUGGGGAGACGCGCGGCGAGGAGACGGGAGAGGUCAGCGAGUUUGAGGGAGGAUCGAGAGCCGCUGCCGCCGUCAUGACUGAGGACUCGAGCGCCCUGCCCUGGUCCAUCAACAGGGACGAUUAUGAGCUGCAGGAGGUGAUCGGGAGUGGAGCAACUGCUGUGGUCCAAGCAGCUUAUUGUGCCCCUAAAAAGGAGAAAGUGGCAAUCAAACGGAUAAACCUUGAAAAAUGUCAGACUAGCAUGGAUGAACUGCUGAAAGAAAUUCAAGCCAUGAGUCAAUGCCAUCAUCCUAAUAUUGUGUCUUACUACACAUCUUUUGUGGUAAAAGAUGAGCUGUGGCUAGUCAUGAAGCUGCUAAGUGGAGGUUCUGUUUUGGAUAUUAUUAAGCAUAUUGUAGCAAAGGGGGAACACAAAAGUGGAGUCCUGGAUGAACCUACCAUUGCUACCAUCCUUCGAGAAGUAUUAGAAGGGUUGGAAUACCUGCAUAAAAAUGGGCAGAUUCACAGAGAUGUGAAAGCUGGAAAUAUUCUUCUUGGAGAGGAUGGCUCGGUACAGAUUGCAGACUUUGGGGUUAGUGCUUUUCUAGCAACUGGAGGUGAUAUUACCCGAAAUAAAGUGAGAAAGACCUUUGUUGGCACCCCUUGCUGGAUGGCACCUGAAGUUAUGGAACAGGUCCGAGGUUAUGAUUUCAAAGCUGAUAUCUGGAGUUUUGGAAUUACUGCAAUUGAACUAGCCACAGGGGCAGCUCCUUAUCAUAAGUAUCCACCAAUGAAGGUUUUAAUGCUAACACUGCAGAAUGAUCCUCCUUCUUUGGAAACUGGUGUUCAAGAUAAAGAAAUGCUGAAAAAAUAUGGAAAAUCAUUUAGAAAAAUGAUUUCAUUGUGCCUUCAAAAGGAUCCAGAAAAAAGACCAACAGCAGCAGAGCUAUUAAGGCACAAAUUUUUCCAGAAAGCUAAGAAUAAAGAAUUUCUUCAAGAGAAAAUAUUGCAGAGAGCACCUACCAUUUCUGAAAGAGCUAAAAAGGUUCGGAGAGUACCAGGUUCCAGUGGUCGUCUUCAUAAAACAGAGGAUGGAGGCUGGGAAUGGAGUGAUGAUGAAUUUGAUGAAGAAAGUGAGGAAGGAAAAGCGGCAAUUUCACAACUCAGGUCUCCUCGAGUGAAAGAAUCAUUAACAAAUUCUGAGCUCUUUUCCACAACUGAUCCCAUGGGUACUUUGCUCCAAGUUCCAGAACAGAUUUCUGCUCAUCUACCUCAACCAUCUGGACAGAUGCCUACACAGCCAACUCAAGUCUCUCUCCCACCACCUGCAGAGCCAGCGAAAACAGCUCAGGCUCUGUCUUCAGGUUCACAAGAAACCAAGAUCCCAAUCAGUCUAGUACUGAGAUUAAGGAAUUCCAAAAAAGAACUAAAUGAUAUUCGAUUUGAAUUUACUCCUGGGAGAGAUACAGCGGAGGGUGUCUCUCAGGAACUCAUUUCUGCUGGCCUGGUCGAUGGAAGGGAUUUAGUAAUAGUGGCAGCUAAUUUGCAGAAAAUUGUGGAAGAACCUCAGUCAAAUCGAUCUGUCACUUUCAAGCUGGCAUCUGGUGUUGAAGGCUCAGAUAUUCCUGAUGAUGGCAAACUAAUAGGAUUUGCCCAGCUCAGCAUCAGCUAAAACACAGCCCUGGAAGAGGCGGCCUAAGGAGAUUCCACACAUGCGUAUCUCUGUUGCUUCUAUUGGCCUAAACCCACUACUGCCAAAGAACCCAGCAAAGAACCUCCCGGCUAGGAGCUUUAGAAUUCUUUCUUUAUGUUCUUCUUGCCAUCAUUCCCCUUUUUCCCACAGGGAAAGUAAAGUUGGAUCACCAGUGGCCAGCAUCCCCUCAAAGAGUUCCGUUAGUAAAUGUGCUGCACAUGUCCCCUUUCUUCCGCCAUCUGAGAAGUGGCCCGUGUGCCUCAAGGCCAGGAGGGAGAUCGCUCAGCUCAUUCUUGCCUUACUCCAGUAAUGGCCCAGGUGGAAAGUAGCAGCUACGUUGGGCAUCUCGUCCUGCCACACCUGCCAGGAGUUCAUUGUUUGCCUUGCUGGGAAUUAGGAGACAAACACCAAGUCCCAUGACAGUGUUAUUUCUUCUUCUGCAUGAUGUGUGGUGAAUUCCCUCUGCCGGCUUGUGCAGUGAUGCUGAGAGAACAGGUGAACAGAAACUGCCCAGUUGAGAUAGCAUGUGUCCUAGGGAGCCUCCUCACUCCUUUCCAGUAGUAGUGAUUCAGGGUGCACCUCUGUUACUAGGUCCCCAGAAUACCCCUGUCCCUGGAGUAGGGACUAACUAUAGCACAAGGUAAUAUGUGCCAAUGCUAUUUGUGAAACAUAUGGUCUUUCUAAAUUACGAAUGGAUUUGUUUGGGUUUUUUGCUUAAGUUUUAAACCAAAUCCUAGAGCCAGCCUGAUACUAUUUAAUAAUCUUGAGGAUAGAAUAAUGAUGUAUCAAUAAGUGGAGGUUCCUUCUUAUGACAUGAUGCUAGAUUAUGAAAGAUGUAAAAUAUUCAACUUUCCCCCCUUUUUUUGACUUUGUAUUUUACUGCAUGUUUUCUUCAUUUUUAAUCAAUAAAAAGUAAAUUGUCCUUA